rnacentral:rRNA from 1 species
UACGUAGGGGGCAAGCGUUAUCCGGAUUUACUGGGUGUAAAGGGAGCGUAGACGGCGGUGCAAGCCAGAUGUGAAAGCCCGGGGCCCAACCCCGGGACUGCUUUGGAAACUGUGUAACUGGAGUACAGGAGGGGCAGGCGGAAUUCCUGGUGUAGCGGUGAAAUGCGUAGAUAUCAGGAGGAACACCAGUGGCGAAGGCGGCUUACUGGACUGUAACUGACGUUGAGGCUCGAAAGCGUGGGUAGCGAACAGG